rnacentral:rRNA from 1 species
CCCUUAGAUGUUCUGGGCCGCACGCGCGCUACACUGACGAAGUCAGCGAGCAUGUCCUACGCCGACAGGUGCGGGGAAUCUUGUCAAACCUCGUCGUGAUGGGGAUUGAUUAUUGAAAUUCUUGAUCAUCAACGAGGAAUUCCUAGUAAGCACAAGUCAGCAGCUUGCGUUGAUUACGUCCCUGCCCUUUGUACACACCGCCCGUCGCUACUACCGAUUGAAUGGUUUAGUGAGAUCUUCGGAUUGGCGCCACUGCGGCUCAGCAAUGGGCUCGGUGGAUGCCGAAAAGUUGAUCAAACUUGAUCAUUUAGAGGAAGUAAAAGUCGUAACA